GUCUCCCAACCAAUCAACUGCGUUCUUUGCUACGUGUGGCGUCACACGUAGAGGCCAAAAUGGCGUCGGUAGCUGGAGCCGAGGGCUUAUCGCGACCUUUACUCUAGGCGAGGUUAGGGACCGUAGGAAAGAAGCUUUGUCCCUGAACCGCCGUUCAGGAUUAGUAUCGGAUUCCUCAGAGUCAUGGGAGCAAUUACCAGAGGCCUCCAGCCCCCACCAGACGCAACUCAAGGAGAGAAUCCACGCUACAUGAACCGACAUAGCGGACGCCUCAAUUGCCCAAACCCAGUCUGGGGGUUGCGGAGUUGCCAGUGGAUAAGGGGAACCCGAGCGUUCUCCACUUCGGGUUUCUCCACGUGUGAAGUGGGAAUGAUAGUGAUAUCUCGUGCUUUAGCUGUCAAAGGGAAGAAGGAGAAGGUUCACCCAAAUGCUAAAGCGCCUCAGGUGAGGAGCUGAUGAUAAUCAGCAAUUAUCCAAGAGAGUUUCCAGCUGUUAAUGACGUUUUGCUGUGAUUUGCCAGAGAUGAAAUCCAUUUUCUUAAACUGCUCCAGCCAGCUGAGCAAAAGGCUUGGGAACCAUAUUCUCUUUCAAGAAGUGUUGAGCACUUGUGAAGUCUGCAGAGAAACUGUACAAGGUAUCUGCUUUCUUGUCAGUUCCAAUGAAGAUCGUUUCCUCACAACCCUAGGACUGAUCAUUAUUUUCUAGGUGAGCUCAUGGAAGACAAGACCAGGUCUCUCUUGGAUUGAAAGGGCAUUUGCUGAGAUGCUAUGAGCUUUAAACUUAAUCACGUCAAGGCCAGCAGUUCAAAUCCAAGCCUUGCUAAAGGCAAAGGUA